rnacentral:rRNA from 1 species
GAUGAACGCUGGCUACAGGCUUAACACAUGCAAGUCGAGGGGAAACGACGGGGAAGCUUGCUUCCCCGGGCGUCGACCGGCGCACGGGUGAGUAACGCGUAUCCAACCUGCCUCUGACUGAGGGAUAACCCGUCGAAAGUCGGCCUAAUACCUCAUGGCAUCGUCUGCGGGCAUCCAACGACGACUAAAGAUUUCAUCGGUCAGGGAUGGGGAUGCGUCUGAUUAGCUUGUUGGCGGGGUAACGGCCCACCAAGGCUACGAUCAGUAGGGGUUCUGAGAGGAAGGUCCCCCACAUUGGAACUGAGACACGGUCCAAACUCCUACGGGAGGCAGCAGUGAGGAAUAUUGGUCAAUGGGCGGGAGCCUGAACCAGCCAAGUAGCGUGCAGGAUGACGGCCCUAUGGGUUGUAAACUGCUUUUAGGCGGGGAUAAAGUGAGGGACGUGUCCUUCAUUGCAGGUACCGCAUGAAUAAGGACCGGCUAAUUCCGUG